AACAGCCAAACAAACGAAACAAAACAAAACACAGUAAGACUAGGCAAAAGCUCUCACACAAGGCGGGACCAGGAAACCCAAUAAGAGGAAAAGAGUCCCAAGAGCACAAAAAGGAGCCAGAGACAACCCUGUUCCCACAGGGUCAUCAUCACUCCUGGUUGUUACCUGAGUCAGUUGGAUUUCUGACAUAGUUAAGGUUUCCACAGCUUAACUUUGCCCUCCCUUCAUUUCUGGAUCUUGAAAACAGUACUGGUAUCAUCAGGUCAAGGGUUUCUAAGGUCCCCAGGCUCUUAAAGUGUGAGCGGUCCAGGAGGAGAACCAUUUGAAGCUCAGACCCAGGCUCAAGCUCAGUCUUCAGCUAAGAAGAAGAAGCAGGAGAGGAAACUGACCUGGAAGCACAGACAAUGCCCCGAUUCUAUGGAAGAAACACACCAAAGUGUGGUAAUAAAUACAGAAUUUUUUUUUGAAAAAUCACUGGAAUUUCUAAAUAAAAUGGAUGAAGCACCCUUUUGUGCAUCAGAGAAAAGACACCACAAAUAAAUCUGCCUUCUUAAAAGGUCUCUGAGCCUUGAGGGAGGGCUUUGAUGAAGGCAUCCCACUUAGGACUGAGUGUUCCAGAGGCUCUCAACAUUCUGAGACCCAUUAUCCAGCUGGAGCUCUCCAUGUCGGUUCCCAUCUACUGUGAGAAAGCUUCGCUGAUGAAGGCUGAGUGAAGCGUGAUCUAUGGGCGCAGCACUAUAGUGUUAGGAUUCACUUUAUUGUUGUUCCUCAAGCAGAAUGGUAGUCUUUGGACACCUGCUGGCAAGCAAAAGGAAAUGUUUUCAGAAGAGUCUCACUGGGCUUAUUAACCACACUGCAGGGCAAAACCCAUACCCAGGAAUAAAAGGCCAACACAAACCAAACAACAAGACAAGUUUGUCUCAUUUUGCUUUGCUUGGGUGCUUUUUGUCUCAUUGGUCUUUUUUAUUAUUUACUUUUAUUUCUUUUUUUUUUNNNNNNNNNNNNNNNNNNNNNNNNNUUUUUUUUUAGUUUUCAUGGGGAGGUUGGGAUGUUUCUAGUUUUGUUUUCCUUGGUUUUAAAGAGAGAACAGAAGAAAAAAUAUAAAGUUGGGUGGAUAGGGAGGUGGGUAGGUUCUUUAGAGGAAUUGGGGGAUAGAAAAACAUGGUAAAAAUAAAAUAUAUGAAAAAUCAUUAAAGAAAAACUAUGACGACUUUGGAUGCUGCCUCAAGGAAUUUGACAUUCUUGCUGUUUUUAAGAGUUACCUUGAUAUGUAAUGUCCUACUACACAAGGCUAAGCGACCAUGCACCAUGCACUAAAGAGUUUCACACGCAUGUUCUUCAGAAAUGUUUCCAUAUCACUUCUGAUUCUCCCCACUGUCUACACCAUGUAUUUUAUUCUCAUUGAGAUUUCACUCCUAAUUAUUUUUUAAUGCGAGCCACUU
ensembl:lincRNA Gm31121 predicted gene, 31121